rnacentral:rRNA from 1 species
CAGCCGCCACGGUAAUACGUAGGUGGCAAGCGUUGUCCGGAAUUAUUGGGCGUAAAGGGCUCGCAGGCGGUUUCUUAAGUCUGGUGUGAAAGCCCCCGGCUCAACCGGGGAGGGUCAUUGGAAACUGGGAAACUUGAGUGCAGAAGAGGAGAGUGGAAUUCCACGUGUAGCGGUGAAAUGCGUAGAGAUGUGGAGGAACACCAGAGGCGAAGGCGACUCUCUGGUCUGUAACUGACGCUGAGGAGCGAAAGCGUGGGGAGCGAACAGGAUUAGAUACCCGAGUAGUCCCUGUCUCUUAUAA